UACACAUGCAGUCGACGGUGAACCCCAGCUUGCUGGGGGGAUCAGUGGCGAACGGGUGAGUAACACGUGAGUAACCUGCCCCUGACUCUGGGAUAAGCCUUGGAAACGAGGUCUAAUACCGGAUACGUGACGCUCAGGCAUCUGAUGCGUCUGGAAAGAUUUAUCGGUCAGGGAUGGACUCGCGGCCUAUCAGCUUGUUGGUGGGGUAACGGCCCACCAAGGCGACGACGGGUAGCCGGCCUGAGAGGGCGACCGGCCACACUGGGACUGAGACACGGCCCAGACUCCUACGGGAGGCAGCAGUGGGGAAUAUUGCACAAUGGGCGCAAGCCUGAUGCAGCGACGCCGCGUGAGGGAUGAAGGCCUUCGGGUUGUAAACCUCUUUCAGCAGGGAAGAAGCGCAAGUGACGGUACCUGCAGAAGAAGCGCCGGCUAACUACGUGCCAGCAGCCGCGGUAAUACGUAGGGCGCAAGCGUUGUCCGGAAUUAUUGGGCGUAAAGAGCUCGUAGGCGGUUUGUCGCGUCUGCUGUGAAAACUCGAGGCUCAACCUCGGGCUUGCAGUGGGUACGGGCAGACUAGAGUGCGGUAGGGGUGACUGGAAUUCCUGGUGUAGCGGUGGAAUGCGCAGAUAUCAGGAGGAACACCGAUGGCGAAGGCAGGUCACUGGGCCGCAACUGACGCUGAGGAGCGAAAGCAUGGGGAGCGAACAGGAUUAGAUACCCUGGUAGUCCAUGCCGUAAACGUUGGGCACUAGGUGUG
rnacentral:rRNA from 2 species